AGUGAACGCUGGCGGCAGGCCUAAUACAUGCAAGUCGAACGGCAGCACAGUGGAGCUUGCUCCAUGGGUGGCGAGUGGCGGACGGGUGAGGAAUACAUGGGAAUCUGCCCAGUCGUGGGGAUAACGUAUGGAAACGUACGCUAAUACCGCAUGCGCCCCUUCGGGGGGAAAGUCGGGGACCGCAAGGCCUGACGCGAUUGGAUGAGCCCAUGUUCGAUUAGCUAGUUGGCGGGUAACGGCCCACCAAGGCGACGAUCGAUAGCUGGUCUGAGAGGAUGAUCAGCCACACUGGAACUGAGACA
rnacentral:rRNA from 1 species